UGCUAACCCAACACAAGAAGUGAAGAGGCUAGAGGAAAGACGCAAGAUAAGAGAUACAUAAAGACAGACAACUAAACCAAGGCCAAAAAGGCACAACACAAACCACCUAAACAACCCUUAAUACAAUAGAAUCACAGCAGAAAAACCUUAACCAAAUCAAGCAAAAACAAUUGCUUAGUUGAUAUUGGUAUGCCUUGUCGCAUUGAUGUUUCAGAAAUGUCUAGGUGGAGGGGAAUGUUGUCUUAUAUGUGGUAAUACAGGUGGUAAUCCAUGUGGUAAACCCCUUACGAAUGGAGUCAAAUUGGUAAAUUUUUGUUCUGGGAUAGUAAUUGGAGGGAGAUUGCAAAAUGUUGAGGAGAAAACAUAAGAGCAGCAAGGAAUAACACUAAUAAGGAUAAGAAAAAGGAUUUAGCCAUUUUAAGAAGUGAUAUUAUUAUUGUGUUGGUGCAUAAUACAUAUGGAAUUAACUGGUUUUAUACUAAUUAGAGACUCAAUGUGAGUUUAUGGUCAAUCUAAGUUAUUUACUAAAUGUCAAAAUUAUGUAUGAAUUGAAUUAUUCAACAAUGUUACAACUUCCAUGUAUUUGCUACUAGUUGAUGAUCAUUAACUAUCCUUAAUUUCAUUUUCCAUACAGCAAGACCAUUUAGUAUUAUUGGCUCUAUCUUUCCACUAAUAGGUAUGUAUUUGAUAAAUUUUAU
rnacentral:lncRNA from 1 species